CGUCACUGAGACCUGCCAUGGCCUAAUACCUAAACAGUUUUCCUUACACUGAUCAGAUUUGGAGUGCCAUUUCCAGAUGGGAGGGUAGCGUUAUUGUCCUCUGCAACGCUCCACCAAGCAGCCGACUGACACAGAAGCAGAGGCACAGGGCUUGAUAUCAGAUGGAGCUCAGUGAGUCUCACUGAAAAGCUGAGGGAAGGACUGAGAGAGGCAGAGUUGCACAAUGGUCUUCACGUGGGUUCACUAAACCCGUCACCUGUCUGUGGAUCCUGUUCUCCUACCCGGGCUGCGUUUUCAAGAGCUGGUUGAUGGAUCUUUCUCUUUUCCUAAGAAAAGGCCACUCUGGUUCUCAACUCACUCUUGAAGCCGUGACAGGAGACAUUCACAUCUCAUUCCUUAAGGACUAUACAAAAGGUUUGCUCAAAGUCAUCUGCAGAUACAUCUUUUUUAGGAAUGAAUCCUUCGCACUGGAGACCAGAGAAGAGACCUGCAGUUGCAUUAUUAAUAAACAUCAAAGCAAAAUAUAAAAGUCUGAAUGGAAUAAAUAUUUUAGGACAGUGUUUUGCAAGCAAAUUCUUUCAUAGACAGUCUUUGAAGAGCUCUGAAAUUUUGCAUUUCAUAUUUGACUUUUCUGGGACUCUGACUAGAAUCAACUCACAACUGUUUGGGAUUUUCUUGGCAAUUAACCAGUUUGUGAACAGAGCUGAAUUUAUCAUAUGCUCUUCCAUCUACAUUAAUAUUGCUACAGUGAGGAACAACUAUGGUAAAACUCUUCAUCUGAUUUUUCAAACAGCAUCCUCAUACCACUGCGGACUUUUGUGCUUGUGGAGGGAAAGGUUGAGAACACCAUUUGAAAGUUGGAAAUGCUGAAGUGGGAAAGGCCUGUGUGUGGAUCAUACACAACUUCAGAAUAUCCAUUGUUUUAAUAGUCACUAGGAAGUGGACUUCUGCAAAAUGACUUCAGCAGAAAAUCAUGGUAGAAAAACGGUAAUUGAUUCACUGGAAAUAUAGAUGCACUGGAUUGUUCAACAUGGGCUUAGAGGUAGAGACAUGUGAGCACAUAAAGUAUGGAGAAUCAAUCCUGUGUGAUGUUAAGUUUCCCUACCCCAUGGUUUCAUGCAAACAGCAUUAUAUUUAAGCACUGAGGAAUAGAAUAAAAGUCAAUUUUUUGAAAAUCCAAGUCACAAAAAGUACUGUCCUCCUCCAUGAUGCACAUAAACUCUCAGGUGCACUGGCCUUCACAUGCCUGGAUGACAGCUGUCAGCAUGGGAUUUACUGCCAUCCUUUUCAUAACAGCAGAGCUCCAAUCUGCUUCAGCCACGUCAUCAGCUCCCCAUUCUGAUGGAGGGAGACUAGUUCACUGAGUAUGCCUAUGAAAUCUUUGAUUAGCUUAAAGACCUAGGAACUAUUUUCACUCCAGUGAGCUGUUAUAAGUAAUCUUGAAUUGAGUUGGUAUUGUUAGUGGCUGUGAUGUCUACAAAUCCCAGAAGACCAUGUUUCAAAGGGAGUUGAUUGAGAAUUUCUUGGGUAUUUUUGCAAUACUGGUAGGUGGGCUCGAUGAAUAGGAACAUCUUCCCAGACUGGGUCUUGCAGUUCCCAUACUCCUGAGCCAUGUUGUGAGGCUGCAGUUUCCCUGAAAGGAACGUUCUAUUGAAAAAUGGUAAUCUCAAUGUAUUCUGAACAAUGCAUUACAUUGAAGACCAUAGAAAACAUGGAAGAAAGAAACUUUUACUUUUUCUAGCUUACACUCACAUUCCUACCAAACCCUCACAUACCAUAGAACCUGCUUACUGAGGAUUUAAUCAUAUAAUAAUGAACAGAUGAGACAUCCAGGCUUGUGGACUUAUCAACUACUGGAU